CUAGACUAGCGGGCCUUG
rnacentral:tRNA from 2 species